rnacentral:rRNA from 1 species
CGGAGUGCUUGCACUCUGUGAAACAAGAUACAGGCUAGCGGCGGAUGGGUGAGUAACACGUGGGUAACCUGCCCAAGAGAUCGGGAUAACACCUGGAAACAGAUGCUAAUACCGGAUAACAACAGAUGAUGCCUAUCAACUGUUUAAAAGAUGGUUCUGCUAUCACUCUUGGGAUGGACCUGCGGUGCAUUAGCUAGUUGGUAGGGGUAACGGGCCUACCAAGGCGAUGAUGCAUAGCCGAGUUGAGAGACUGAUCGGCCACAUUGGGACUGAGACACGGCCCAAACUCCUACGGGAGGCAGCAGUAGGGAAUCUUCCACAAUGGACGCAAGUCUGAUGGAGCAACGCCGCGUGAGUGAAGAAGGUUUUCGGAUCGUAAAGCUCUGUUGUUGGUGAAGAAGGAUAGAGGUAGUAACUGGCCCUUAUUUGACGGUAAUCAACCAGAAAGUCACGGGCUAACUACGUGCCAGCAGCCGCGGUAAAU